rnacentral:rRNA from 1 species
AUUGAACGCUGGCGGCAGGCCUAACACAUGCAAGUCGAACGAGUGGCGGACGGGUGAGUAAUGUCUGGGAAACUGCCUGAUGGAGGGGGAUAACUAUUGGAAACGAUAGCUAAUACCGCAUACUGUGAGAUGGCCUGCGUUGUAUUAGCUAGUUGGUGAGGUAAAGGCUCACCAAGGCGACGAUACAUAGCCGACCUGAGAGGGUGAUCGGCCACACUGGGACUGAGACACGGCCCAGACUCCUACGGGAGGCAGCAGUAGGGAAUCUUCGGCAAUGGACGAAAGUCUGACCGAGCAACGCCGCGUGAGUGAAGAAGGUUUUCGGAUCGUAAAACUCUGUUGUUAGAGAAGCGGUAUCUAACCAGAAAGCCACGGCUAACUACGUGCCAGCAGCCGCGGUAAUUC